UGCCGCCCCUGGCCUGCCAGGACCCAGAGGGAGCGGAGCACGCGCCUUUGGGAAUCUUCGGUGCGCCAAGUCUGUUCGCCGCCGGGGUCUAUCACCCCCGCCCCUCGCCUCUGCCCGUGAGCGUGUGAGUUGUAGCGUACCCUGGGGUCUGUUCUGGAGGAGGCCUGAGAGCGGGGUUGCCUGGGGCGUGGGUCUCUCAUCCCUCUCGUCCUGGUGAAGAAGAAGAGUAUACCCAGCGGCAGCUGGCUUGGCUUUUUCAGAGGAAACAGAGACUCUCAGACAUGAAUACUGUGACACUGACCACCAGGCCAACUUAACAUCAGCAGAUAUCCUGUCUCAGAUGAAGAGACAGUUAAUCAGAGACUUACUCCAACCCAGAAGUUUAUACCAAAAGACUUGAUUAGCGCAAUAAAAGCACUAAAUGAGGAGCUCGGAUUAAUUAUUGAUUUAACAUACACCACAA
rnacentral:lncRNA from 1 species